rnacentral:rRNA from 1 species
GACGGAGGGGGCUAGCGUUGUUCGGAAUUACUGGGCGUAAAGCGCACGUAGGCGGAUCGUUAAGUCGAGGGUGAAAUCCUGGAGCUCAACUCCAGAACUGCCUUCGAUACUGGCGAUCUUGAGUCCGGAAGAGGUGAGUGGAACUCCUAGUGUAGAGGUGGAAUUCGUAGAUAUUAGGAAGAACACCAGUGGCGAAGGCGGCUCACUGGUCCGGUACUGACGCUGAGGUGCGAAAGCGUGGGGAGCAAACAGG